rnacentral:lncRNA from 1 species
UUUUGUAGUACCCAAUUAUUGCUCGGGGCCCAAAACUAUUUACAGCAGCCCAAAUUACAAACUAAAACUCAAAUUUAGCCCAUAACAAAAACCAAAAUGGCAGAAACCCUAGGCAAUUUUCCCCACGCUGCAGCAACUGCCCCACUGCCCACGUCGUUGCUCGCACGUUCAGCAGCCCUGCAGAACACCCGUUUCCACGUUCUCCUCCACCUGCAAUAAACCACGAACAACAGUAAUAGGACCGAAUAUACAACAAAAAAAUGGUUAAAAGAUUUGGCUAUAAAAAAGCCAAUGAAUUUCUGUAAUAGGGUUGGACAAAUCUUGUAUUGAAAAAUAUUGAAGAAAUACGAAAACAAAGAAUCAAAAACAAUUUUGAAGGUGAUUGGUUUUCUUCUGUUUUUUCUUUUCUUUUUACUAUUUUUUUUAAUUUUCUUCCUUGUUUCUUAAAACAAAUAAAGGAAAAAGGGAGUAGAGGGGGACUUGCCGUCGCGAGCAACGUUGGGGGAUCUCUUCAUUUCAUCGUCGGAAUGAGAGGGAUGUGGAGCGACCGAGAGCAGGGUGCUG